GUGCCCGUAGCUCAGUGGAUAGAGCGCUGGCCUGCGGAGCCAGAGAUCGGAGGUUCGAGUCCUCUCGGGCACGCCA
rnacentral:tRNA from 1 species